rnacentral:rRNA from 1 species
UGUGGCGGCGUGCUUACCUGCAAGUCGAACGAGCCUUCGGGCGAGUGGCGGACGGGUGAGUAACGCGUGGGAAUCUGCCCUCAGGAGGGGGAUAACGGCCGGAAACGGCCGCUAAUACCCCAUAUGCCGAGAGGUGAAAUGAAUUUCGCCUGAGGAUGAGCCCGCGUCUGAUUAGCUAGUUGGUGGGGUAAUGGCCCACCAAGGCGACGAUCAGUAGCUGGUCUGAGAGGAUGAUCAGCCACACUGGGACUGAGACACGGCCCAGACUCCUACGGGAGGCAGCAGUGGGGAAUUUUCCGCAAUGGGCGAAAGCCUGACGGAGCAACGCCGCGUGAGGGAUGAAGGCCUCUGGGCUGUAAACCUCUUUUCUCAAGGAAGAAGACAUGACGGUACUUGAGGAAUAAGCCACGGCUAAUUCCGUGCCAGCAGCCGCGGUAAUACGGGAGUGGCAAGCGUUAUCCGGAAUUAUUGGGCGUAAAGCGUCCGCAGGCGGCCUUGUAAGUCUGUCGUUAAAGCGUGGAGCUUAACUCCAUUUCAGCGAUGGAAACUACAAGGCUUGAGUGUGGUAGGGGCAGAGGGAAUUCCCGGUGUAGCGGUGAAAUGCGUAGAUAUCGGGAAGAACACCAGUGGCGAAGGCGCUCUGCUGGGCCAUAACUGACGCUCAUGGACGAAAGCCAGGGGAGCGAAAGGGAUUAGAUACCCCUGUAGUCCUGGCCGUAAACGAUGAACACUAGGUGUCGGGGGAAUCGACCCCCUCGGUGUCGUAGCUAACGCGUUAAGUGUUCCGCCUGGGGAGUACGCACGCAAGUGUGAAACUCAAAGGAAUUGACGGGGGCCCGCACAAGCGGUGGAGUAUGUGGUUUAAUUCGAUGCAACGCGAAGAACCUUACCAGGGUUUGACAUCCUGCGAAUCCCUUGGAAACGAGGGAGUGCCUUCGGGAGCGCAGAGACAGGUGGUGCAUGGCUGUCGUCAGCUCGUGUCGUGAGAUGUUGGGUUAAGUCCCGCAACGAGCGCAACCCACGUCUUUAGUUGCCAGCAUUCAGUUGGGCACUCUAGAGAGACCGCCGGUGAUAAACCGGAGGAAGGUGUGGAUGACGUCAAGUCAUCAUGCCCCUUACAUCCUGGGCUACACACGUACUACAAUGCUACGGACAAAGGGUUGCAAGCUCGCGAGAGUUAGCUAAUCCCAUAAACCGUGGCUCAGUUCAGAUCGUAGGCUGCAACUCGCCUACGUGAAGGAGGAAUCGCUAGUAAUCGCAGGUCAGCAUACUGCGGUGAAUACGUUCCCGGGCCUUGUACACACCGCCCGUCACACCAUGGAAGUUGGCCAUGCCCGAAGUCGUUACUCCAACCCUUGUGGAGGAGGACGCCGAAGGUGGGGCUGAUGACUGGGGUGAAGUCGUAACAAGGUAGCCGUACCGGAAGGUGCGGCUGGAUCACCUCCUA